CCGAGCUGCGUUCUUCUUGUUCUUCGUAAUCAAACGAGGAUUUGAAGGUGUUAUUGGAAUCCGAUGGAGGUGUAUGAAUAGUCAAAACGAAGCUAUCGACGCGUAGAAACUAUUACUAUCAGUGGUUUCAGUGCAGAAUCGACAGGUUUUUGCUAAUUAAGAAAGGCUUAAAGAUGAGAUGAUGGAUUGAGAUUGUGAAUAAGGCUAAUGCUAGGCGAGGAGACAGAGUUGAGGAUCCAGUGGUCGAGGAGUGUUCAGGAAAGUUGAUGAGGUUGGUGCAAGCGAGAGCUGUGCUAUAGGAAUUCAAGUGUAAGUCAUAGCUGGAAUAGUUGACAGUGAUUCUUCUUAUCGAAGAUGAUCUGAUUUGGUAAGAGAUGUUGUGUAAUAAUAGUGGUAGAUUCUAAUUUCAAUACUGUAACCUGGAUGCGAUCCUGUUGCUUUUAGGGGGUUUAAAUGUUCUCUUUCGAAUCAUUUAUUACAGUUCAAAUGUUC